GUGAGUCAUCGAAUCUUUGAACGCACAUUGCGCCCGCCAGUAUUCUGGCGGGCAUGCCUGUUCGAGCGUCAUUUCAACCCUCAAGCUCUGCUUGGUGUUGGGGAUCGGCGUAGUGUCCUUCGGGGCGCUGCCGUCCCCUAAAUCUAGUGGCGGUCCUGCCGUAGAUACCUCUGCGUAGUAGUUUUCUCCUCGCUCUGGAAUCUCGGCGGUGCCUUGCCGUUAAACCCCCAACUUCUGAAAGGUUGACCUCGAAUCAGGUAGGAAUACCCGCUGAACUUAAGCAUAUCAAUAAGCGGAGGA
rnacentral:misc_RNA from 1 species